CGAGCGUCAUUUCAACCCUCAAGCUCAGCUUGGUAUUGGGUGCCACCUGGCAAUGGUGCACCUUAAAAUCAGUGGUGGUACCAUCUGGCUUCAAGUGUAGUAAAACUCUCGCUUUGGAGGUUUGGAUAUGUGCUUGCCAUCAACCACUAAUUUAUCAAAAGGUUGACCUCGGAUCAGGUAGGGAUACCCGCUGAACUUAA
rnacentral:misc_RNA from 1 species